rnacentral:rRNA from 1 species
GCUUGAGAUUACUGUUUAUUUUGGGGCUAAAGCGUUCGUAGCCGGUUUAAUAAGUCUCUGGUGAAAUCCUGUAGCUUAACUGUGGGACUUGCUGGAGACCUAUUACCUUGAAACCGGGAGAGGUUAGAGGUACUCCCGGGGUAGGGGUGAAAUCCUAUAAUCCUGGGAGGACCCCCUGUGGCAAAGGCGUCUAACUGGAACGAUCCUGACGGUAAGGGAAAACCUGGGGGCGCGAACCGAAAAUACCCCGGGUACCCUAGCUGAAACUUGCGGACUUGGUGUUGGGUGGCUUUGAGCUGCUUAGGCCAAGGAAUCUGUUAACUCCGCCGCCUGGAAAUACGGUCGCAAAAUGAAACUUAAAGGAAUUGGGGGAGAGCAC